rnacentral:rRNA from 1 species
GACGAACGCUGGCGGCGUGCUUAACACAUGCAAGUCGAACGGAAAGGCCCCUUUGGGGGUCCUCGAGUGGCGCACGGGUGCGUAACACGUGAGUAACCUGCCCUUGACUUCGGGAUAACUUCAGGAAACUGGGGCUAAUACCGGAUAGGAAUCCUUGCUGCAUGGUGGGGGUUGGAAAGCUUCGGCGGCUUUGGAUGGACUCGCGGCUUAUCAGCUUGUUGGUGGGGUAGUGGCUUACCAAGGCUUUGACGGGUAGCCGGCCUGAGAGGGCGACCGGCCACACUGGGACUGAGAGACGGCCCAGACGCCUACUGGAGGCAGCAGUGGGGAAUAUUGCACAAUGGGCGGAAGCCUGAUGCAGCAGCGCCGCGGGCGGGAUGACGGCCUUCGGGUUGUAAACCGCUUUCAGCAGGGGCGAAGCUUGUGGUGACGGUACCUGCAGAAGAAGCACCGGCUAACUACGUG